AAGAAGUUCAGCUUGCAGCCUAGUGGUUUUUUUACCACCCAUCACAAGCGAGAUGUGGGUUCAAACCCCAUUACUGACAUUUUAUUUCUUUUUUCUGCUUUAUAACCUCACACCCAAUUUUCAACAUUUAGAAAUUAAAACUAAGGAUUCAGAACAUUUUCCCCAAAUUGUAAAACCCUAAGUCUCUAACUCCCCUAAAUCGAAAUCCCCAAACCCUACCCGCAGGCCCGUAGCCCCGCCACCGUUCACCGGCCAGUUUAAGCUCCGUACUCCGUCACUCCAUGUUCUCACCGUCGCCAAUAUAAGGUUCGUCCGUCAAUGUCAAUCCGUGGCUCAUACUUUGUGGAAAAUCAAUACUUUGAUGUAUGUUGCUCAAUUACAAUCCAUUGUCGCUUCUGCUGCUCACAAAUCUCCCGAUCUUCUUCUCUGUUUUGAUCUUCACUCCGAUCUCAUUUCCGCCAUUAAUGACGAACCUAAGCAAAGAUGUCAUACUUUCUUUUAGCAACUGAAUUGGCACUUCUAUUGCCGGCCACUCUAUGUAUGCUAGAUCGCUUCGCUGGAAUCACUUCUGUCAGUGGGAAACAUCCUAACUUUCCAUCAAACAAACAUUCACCAUCUGGUCAAUGAUCUGCUCUUGACAAUUCUACCUCAAACAUGACUUUGGUAUCGUACCUUUUGGACUUACAAUUUCGGUGGUGAAAAAAUAAAAGGAGCAAAAGAAAUAAGGGUUAUAUAUAUACUGCCAUGCUUUUGGUAAAAGAGGGAAAAUAUUCCCUCCAAAAUUUUGGAGUGAUUGAAAAAUGUACUAUGCAAAAAUUUGAAAUAUUUGGGAAUUUGUACAGUAACAUGAGUUGGUGGAAAAUUUCUUUCA